rnacentral:rRNA from 1 species
GAUGAACGCUGGCGGCGUGCUUAACACAUGCAAGUCGAACGAAGCAUUUGCGACAGAUUUUUUCGGAAUGAAGUUGCUUAUGACUGAGUGGCGGACGGGUGAGUAACGCGUGGGUAACCUGCCUUGUACUGGGGGAUAGCAGCUGGAAACGGCUGGUAAUACCGCAUAAGCGCACAAUGUUGCAUGACAUGGUGUGAAAAACUCCGGUGGUAUAAGAUGGACCCGCGUCUGAUUAGCUAGUGGGUGAGAUAACAGCCCACCAAGGCGACGAUCAGUAGCCGACCUGAGAGGGUGACCGGCCACAUUGGGACUGAGACACGGCCCAGACUCCUACGGGAGGCAGCAGUGGGGAAUAUUGCACAAUGGAGGAAACUCUGAUGCAGCGACGCCGCGUGAGUGAAGAAGUAAUUCGUUAUGUACAGCUCUAUCAGCAGGGAAGAUAGUGACGGUACCUGACUAAGAAGCUCCGGCUAAAUACGUG